rnacentral:lncRNA from 1 species
UGUGUUAACAAAAGUAACUUGAUUUAUGAGCCAAUUUAAAAACCUAUUCAACCAGGCCAAGGCAUCAGCAUUGUGAUCACGGUUAAACCCCAAGCAGACAGCAAACACGGAAGGAUGAAUUUAUAUGCCACUUAGCGACGACAUCCAACUGAGCUACACAGGUGAAUAUAUCAAUCAACAUUUAAUGGUUUAAUGUCCCAAUGCAUCCAUUGAAGUGACUUGGGUUUGAAGAAUCACAAGUUUAAAGAAUAGUUUCAUUUCUCCACUCAAGUGGAGAUCUUUUGUUGCUGCAAUGGGGAUAUGAGAGAGAGAGAGAGCGAGCGAGAGAAUUUCUUCAUACCCAUUGAGUAUAAUAACCUUUCCUCUCUGUCAGUCAGUGUGAUCACUGUGUGGGUUUAAAUAGAUGUUUUUAUUCAAUGUUUUAUUUAACAAGGAAGUCACCCAGGUGCUGGUUCCCAGUUGACGCUUGUCUCAGUUGUUGUUGGGCUCCUUGGCGUUGGGGUCUUCACAGAUGCUGUUGACCAUGUAGUGGUACAUCCUAGCCCUCUCUCUGUACAUUGAUUUUAGAUUAGUAUAACCAUGGUCUCCUGUGCACCAGAAAAGCAUAGGCCUGCAAAGCUGAGGCUUAGGCAUUGUCUCGGGUAGCCUGUGUAACUCUUAUUAAGGGCAAGGUUAGACCUACUCAUCACGCUUGUGUUAUAACUGAACCACCUCAGUUACAAUUCAUCAUCCUUUGACCUCCUCCUCCUCCUCCUCCUCCUCACAAAAGACCCAUCUGAGCCACGGCCCAAAUAUGAAUGACAGGGCUCAAACAAAGGUCUUCUGCAGAUCAUAAGAGCACAUUAGCCCGCUAAACCAAACCCCUAUAGCCAAUGCAACUCUUCAGGUAUCCCGCAAGGUUACUCAUCAUGCCAACAACUAACCAGGAAAUAAGUCAUUCAGUUACCACGCACAUGCAAUGUGUAACUUUGCCUGAAAACAGAAAAAUUGCAUUUGCUCCCCGAGCUAAAUCACGUCGACUUACACUUAACAGGCUGAUAUGUUCUACUAGUGUACAGGACACCAGGUUCAAACCCUGUCGGUUACACUGAUCUAAGAUCAAUACACAGACAGUGUGACAUAGCUAGGUUGUCCCACUGCAUGGCGGUGUUGUGUUUCUCUCCUGGGUAGCUAGCAUAGCUAGGUUGUCCCACUGCAUGGCGGUGUUGUGUUUCUCUCCUGGGUAGCUAGCAUAGCUAGGUUGUCCCACUGCAUGGCGGUGUUGUGUUUCUCUCCUGGGUAGCUAGCAUAGCUAGGUUGUCCCACUGCAUGGUGGUGUUGUGUUUCUCUCCUGGAGCAUGCCUCCAGCAAGCAAUUUGCAUACAGUUCUAAAAAAUGAAAUUAAAAGAGAAAAUGCUAAAUUGGG